GUAAUAAUAACGUUAUUCAAAGAUCCCGGAUUAUAUUUUCUGAUAACCUUAAAGUCUCCCCAAGUUAAUGUGUUUAAUACUACUACAUACACUGCCCCACCUGACCAAUGGAUUCCUUUUAAUGAAACCACCUGCUCAUACGUGUCCCAUGUAAUCUAUGGAAUGGGGCUCAAUAGCUCCCGUGCUUUUUGCCGUGGCCUUGUUCCUCCUGGUCGGCACUCUGUUCGAGAGGAAACUUGAGGAAACCAUGAGGAUAUUGAUGAGCAGUAGCAGACCGUGUCACCGCUGCCUGUUGGCUGCACAAAGUAUGCCCCCCACUCCACCCCCAGACAUAUCUGAAUAAAUACUACAAGUAACACGCUAUGGUACUGUAUUUUUAAGUUCUCUACAGGUUUAUGACUUAUUCGUAAAAAACGUAAUCAAUAAAAAAAACUUUUUAAUCUAUAA